rnacentral:rRNA from 1 species
UACGGAGGGUGCAAGCGUUAUCCGGAAUCAUUGGGUUUUAAAGGGUCCGCAGGCGGUCUUAUAAGUCAGUGGUGAAAGCCUACAGCUCAACUGUAGAACUGCCAUUGAUACUGUAAGACUUGAAUUCGAUCGAAGUGGGCGGAAUAUGACAUGUAGCGGUGAAAUGCUUUAGAUAUGUCAUAGAACACCGAUAGCGAAGGCAGCUCACUAGGUCUGGAUUGACGCGUCAAGGGACGGAAAGCGUGGGGAGCAAACACGG